rnacentral:rRNA from 1 species
GAUGAACGCUGGCGGCGUGCCUAAUACAUGCAAGUCGAACGCACAGCGAAAGGUGCUUGCACCUUUCAAGUGAGUGGCGAACGGGUGAGUAACACGUGGAUAACCUACCUCAAGGUUGGGGAUAACAUUUGGAAACAGAUGCUAAUACCGAAUAAAACUUAGUAUCGCAUGAGUACCAGGUUAAAAGGCGCUACGGCGUCACCUAGAGAUGGAUCCGCGGUGCAUUAGUUAGUUGGUGGGUAAAGGCUUACCAAGACAAUGAUGCAUAGCCGAGUUGAGAGACUGAUCGGCCACAUUGGGACUGAGACACGGCCCAAACGUCCUACGGAGGCUGCAGUAGGGAAUCGUUCCACAAUGGGC